rnacentral:rRNA from 1 species
CAGAGUUGAAAAACUCCAACCCCUGUGAACAUACCUUUACUGUUGCUUCGGCGGACGAUGGUCCCCCCCGGGGGGCCGGACGCCGCCGGAGGUUACAAACCCUGAAUUUUAGUGUAUCUCUGAGUACAAAACCAAAUAAUUAAAACUUUCAACAACGGAUCUCUUGGUUCUGGCAUCGAUGAAGAACGCAGCGAAAUGCGAUAAGUAAUGUGAAUUGCAGAAUUCAGUGAAUCAUCGAAUCUUUGAACGCACAUUGCGCCCGCCGGUAUUCCGGCGGGCAUGCCUGUCCGAGCGUCAUUUCACCACUCAAGCCCAGCUUGGUGUUGGGGCACCCGGCCGCCCGGCGGUCGGGGCCCCCAAGAACAUCGGCGGUCUCGCUAGGACCCUGAACGCAGUAACUCGCGGUAAAACGCGCUUCGUUCGGUGGCUUCCCGGCGGGCUCCAGCCGCUAAACCCCCUAAACUUUUUAGGUUGACCUCGGAUCAGGUAGGAAUACCCGCUGAA